AUUGAACGCUGGCGGCAUGCUUAAUACAUGCAAGUCGAACGGCAGCGCGGGAAGCUUGCUUCCUGGCGGCGAGUGGCGAACGGGUGCGUAACACGUAGGAAUCUACCCAGCAGCGGGGGACAACCCGGGGAAACUCGGGCUAAUACCGCAUACGCCCUACGGGGGAAAGGCGGGGGAUCUCUUCGGAGACCUGUCACUGUUGGAUGAGCCUGCGGCCGAUUAGCUUGUUGGUAGGGUAAUGGCCUACCAAGGCGACGAUCGGUAGCUGGUCUGAGAGGAUGAUCAGCCACACUGGGACUGAGACACGGCCCAGACUCCUACGGGAGGCAGCAGUAGGGAAUAUUGGACAAUGGGCGCAAGCCUGAUCCAGCAAUGCCGCGUGUGUGAAGAAGGCCUUCGGGUUGUAAAGCACUUUCAGUGGGGACGAAAAGCACGGGGCUAAUAUCUCCGCGUCUUGACGGUACCUACAGAAGAAGCACCGGCUAACUCCGUG
rnacentral:rRNA from 1 species